rnacentral:lncRNA from 1 species
CGCUAUAACGUUGCUGAGAGGGUCAUUUGCAUUAAGAGCCAUUUGUACCUGAUUGAUCGACACAAACAAAAUUAGUAAAGAAGAAGAAAAGAGAAGCAAAACACAAAACCAAAUAAACAGAUAGUCAACACCGUAAGCUCCCUAGCAAUGGCGCCAAAAAGUGAUCACUGCCAACUCAACGCUACACUAAGGUAGGAAGACCGGGUCGCAAUAGCUUUUACCCGAUAUAAAGGUCGGGAUCAAAUUCCUCAAGGAGCUAGUAGUGGAGUUGGAUUGUGUGUCUAUCCUAGAGAUGUGUUUUUACUCCUAAUGUUACUUCAAACAUUUUUGGGUUUUCAAAUUAUAACUGUCACACCUCCUAUUUACCUACACCCCGGGAAAGGGUAUAGUAUAUAAGAGAGUUUUUCUAAUUAAAGGACAAUCGAAACGAGAUUUAUUUAUUUAAAGAUUCAGAGUCACCACUUGGGAUAAUUUAUGGUGUCCCAAGUCACCGGUUCAAAUCCCGAAUCGAGGAAAAGAUUGACUCUGUAUUACAGCCUCGAAAACAGAAAUUCGGGUAAGGAAUUCUGUUAACCCGGGAGAAGGUGUUAGGCAUUCCUGAGUUUCGUGGUUCUAGCACGGUCGCUCAACUAUUAUAUUUAGCUUAAUUAUCUGAUUUUAAACAAUUAUGAACCUAUGUGCAAAUUUUAACUUUUAACCGCGUUUAUUCAAUUUUUAAAAAAGAUUGAACAUUGUUUAAAAUAUGUUUUUGGAUCACGCCACAUGAAAUGCACCCGCAAUCCUAAACAUAUUUUAUUCAAUGUUUAAAGAUUUGGAUUCGGGUCACAUGAAAUGCACACCCGAAUUUAAGGAAAGUAAUUUUAAAAUAGCGCGCCUAAAUCAGCUACACACUUGCAGCUUUCCGAGGGCCAUGGAGAUCCAACUAAAUGGCACGCCUCGAAUUCUAAGGAUAAACAAGAUUAAUUAAACGAGGGCCAUACAUACUCCUAGUGACCCGAGUAAUAAAAUGAUACGAGAAUAACCAAAUCCCCCUUUUUUAUGUCCAAAUUCCUUCUCGUUACCAACAAAAACAUACAUCCAACUUCAAUCUUUCUUGAAUCAAAAAAAAAAAAUCAACCCUUGGUCUUGUUGACUUGAUAUUAACAGAAGCAAAGUAAGAUAAUAGAGAUUCAUAUCUAUUCCUAAUAAAGAAUCCAUGAAACAUUAACAUAAAUAAAUAGAAUUAAGAAAUUUUAGACAAACAAUGCCAUAACAGAACACACACAUAACGUCCAUAGUCAUCAAAGAUCAAUAUUGAGAGGAAAUUAAAAAUCAGAGAGAAGUUAACCUCAAAACAACCAUGUUGGUUCUGAAAUGCAUAACACCAGAAAAUUUGGAUAGCAACAAUUUGACGAAACCACGAGUUUACCCGGAACCCUCAAAUGGACAACCUCGAUUUGAAAAUGACACUACUACCGCAACAAUGGUGACACUGGAGCAACAAUCAAAAUGACACACACGAAGGAAUCUCCAAAGAACUAAUUCCGACCAAACUCGGUACAGAACAUCACAAAAUCCAGAACUUGUUAGAUCUACACUAGUCCGACGUAGAAGUAAAACACACGUGAAUAAUGGUGAUGAAACAAUCAAUUGUUUUAUGUUCGUUCAUCGUCGACAGUGUGGAUCCGACAAUACAAAGUCAGUAGAGGGGGAGGAUGGCAAGAAGCAAUGGCUAGGUGCAGCAACAGUCAUGGUCAUCGCCGGCCAUCACCUCCGGCAGCGGAGACCAUGUAAAGGGUGAGACCUAGCUUCAACGAGCUUUAUUUAUGCAGCUGCUAAGAAGUGGCCUAGGAGGAUUUGGGUCUGUCAAUGAAGAAGAAGAGCUUAGGGUGUGUGUAAGGUGAGGCUUCGUUUAUGGUUGUUGCGUGGUGAAGGGAGGUCCGGCGAUGGAGUUUUGGUGGUGAGUGUGCGACUGGUAGGAUGUGCUGGGGCGUUAGGCUGCAGGGUGGUCGACUGGUGGCAUGAAUGGCGGUUCAUGUUGAGAUGGAGUUUAGGUUUUUGGUUUUGAAGGUGAUGAACAACGACCCUAAAACUUUUCCUUUCAAUCUGGCUUUUUGACUCGAAACUGGAUCAUGAACGCAGAAACCAAUUUCGUCUAGGGUGGAGAUGGUCGCUCUAGGGUACGUUGUUCAUGUUUGUUCCAUGCAAAGAAGAAGAAACAACGACGAGGGAUUUUUUGAUUUCGGCGAAAUUGGUUGACGGGGGAUACAGAGGGUCGUCGUCUGGGUGAUCGGCGUGAGGUCAGGCGCGGGGGGUCGCUUUUGUAGAGCUAGGGUCAUUUGGAGAAGACGAUGCGCAGGGGGGUGGGUCUCAUGAAUUGUCUGCGCAGCUUUUGUGUUUUCCUUCA